rnacentral:rRNA from 1 species
GAUGAACGCUGGCGGCGUGCCUAAUACAUGCAAGUCGAGCGAACGGACGAGAAGCUUGCUUUUCUGAUGUUAGCGGCGGACGGGUGAGUAACACGUGGAUAACCUACCUAUAUGACUGGGAUAACUUCGGGAAACCGGAGCUAAUACCGGAUUAUAUUUUGAACCGCAUGGUUCAAAAGUGAAAGACGGUCUUGCUGUCACUUAUAGAUGGAUCCGCGCUGCAUUAGCUAGUUGGUAAGGUAACGGCUUACCAAGGCAACGAUGCAUAGCCGACCUGAGAGGGUGAUCAGCCACACUGGAACUGAGACACGGUCCAGACUCCUACGGGAGGCAGCAGUAGGGAAUCUUCCGCAAUGGGCGAAAGCCUGACGGAGCAACGCCGCGUGAAUGAUGAAGGUCUUCGGAUCGUAAAACUCUGUUAUUAGGGAAGAACAUAUGUGUAAGUAACUGUGCACAUCUUGACGGUACCUAAUCAGAAAGCCACGGCUAACUACGUG